GGGUUGUCAUGCCAAUGGCACUGCCCGGUAGCUAAAUGCGGAAGAGAUAAGUGCUGAAAGCAUCUAAGCACGAAACUUGCCCCGAGAUGAGUUCUCCCUGAGACCUUGAGUCUCCUGAAGGAACGUUGAAGACGACGACGUUGAUAGGUCGGGUGUGUAAGCGCAGCGAUGCGUUGAGCUAACCGAUACUAAUGAACCGUGAGGCUUAACCUU
rnacentral:rRNA from 1 species